UUUUAUUUGAGAGUUUGAUCCUGGCUCAGGAUGAACGCUGGCGGCGUGCCUAACACAUGCAAGUUGAGCGAUUUACUUCGGUAAAGAGCGGCGGACGGGUGAGUAACGCGUGGGUAACCUACCCUGUACACACGGAUAACAUACCGAAA
rnacentral:rRNA from 1 species